rnacentral:rRNA from 1 species
AUACGGAGGGUGCAAACGUUGCUCGGAAUUAUUGGGCGUAAAGCGCGCGUAGGCGGCUUGAUAAGUCGGAUGUGAAAGCCCUUGGCUCAACCAAGGAAGUGCAUACGAAACUGUCAGGCUUGAGUAUGGGAGAGGAUUGUGGAAUUCCCGGUGUAGAGGUGAAAUUCGUAGAUAUCGGGAGGAACACCAGUGGCGAAGGCGACAAUCUGGACCAAUACUGACGCUGAGGUGCGAAAGCGUGGGGAGCAAACAGGAUUAGAAACCCUAGUAGUCC